CAGCCUUGCAGUGUACUGCUUGCUGAAAAAUUGUCAAUGAAUCAAGUCGUGGGGAAAAAGUGAAAGCAGGCAAAGCGAGUUAUGACAAUAAUGUGUGAUUGUUCUGAAAGUGAGCAGACAUACGGCGGUACUCUAGCCAUAGAGUGAGAUGGAAAAUUAAGUCCAUGUCCAGGAUGGUGCGGGCUGGAGCGGUGGAGGUUCGGCGUCUUCGCCUCACUGCCGUGCAUAGAGCUGCUGCUACUGCUAUGCCUCUCUUCUCAAUGUCUCUUGGGUUGUUUCUUGCUGCUGCUGCUGGCACUUGGCUGAGAAUCUUCUAUUUUCCUUACUGCGAGUCUACGUUGCUCCUACACUUCUUCCACGUUCAUUUAUGCUUCUUCUUUGGAAGGUUCCUUACUGCCUCUCUGGCCCUCCUAGGAUAGGUGCGUCCCUUGCGCUUUCUUGUGUAUAUGCGCUGAAUGAUCUGUGGAGUAGGUGCUA